rnacentral:rRNA from 1 species
UAAAAAUGUAAAAUUAUAAAUUAAAUUAGUAUUAGUUAUGUUCUUGAAAAUUAAAGAUUUUGGCGGUAUUAUAGUCUUUUUAGAGGAACCUGUCCUGUAAUUGAUAAUCCACGAUUAAUUUUACUUAUUUUAAAGAUUUGUAUAUCGUCGUAGGUUGAAUGUUUUAGAAGAAUAUUAAUGUUCAAAAUUUAGUAUAAUAAAUGAAUUCAGAUCAAGGUACAGUGAAUGAAUAAGAAGAGAUGGGUUACAAUAAAUUUAUUUAUACGGAUUUAUUUAUGAAAUUUGAUAAUAAAGGUGGAUUUAAGAGUAAUUAAAAAUAAUUAUUUUUUUUGAAUAAAGCUCUAUAAUAUGC